CACUUCCGCUGCUGCGCAUCACGCUCAGGUGUGCUCCUCAGGUGCGCCAAAGUUUAAUAUCGACCCUGGACCACUCGAGCGGAUGACGGGUGUCCGAGUUUGGAUGAAAAUGCUGCGAAAAGAAGCAUUGGUUGAACUCAGAAUGCAGGGUUUUCUUCUUGUUUCUUUGUACAGGAUGAUGAGAUCAACCAACACAGUCAGUGUGUGUGUGUGUGUGUGUGUGUGUGUGUGUGUGUGUGUGUGUGUGUGUGUCUCUGAGCUGAACGGUCUGCAGAGAAAGAGAGCUACCGAGGUCCUCAACCUGCUGCUACGAGACCUCAGUGACAUCGGCGCCAUCAUCGGCACCAGUGAUGUCAACACAGCUUCCUCAGAGUCAAAGGGGAACGGCUCAGCGGUGGAGGAGGAGUUCACAUCAGCAAGUUCAAGUCUGAGGUCAAGUCUCUGGUGAACCGCAGCAAACAGCUGGAGAGCACGCAGGCCGACGCCCACACAAACAUUCAGGCCAAUGACAAGGAGACAUGAUGGAGACGAGGACAUCAAGGAACUCUGUUGAUGUCUUCCAGGAGGAUCCCCCGUCGGUGGCCGUCUUCCUGCUCAGGUAGGAGACUCAAAGCUUUCUUAAUGUUGUUUUAUUAUGUUCCAGGUUUUAGGUCUUAUAGAUGUUUAGACUCAGUUAUUUGAAUCAGCUACGAAGAAGUCGAUUUAGAGUGGAGGAACAUCAACCUGGAACAUAAAACAACAUUAAGAAAGCUUUUGAGCUCCUACCCAAUGAAGCUGGAGGAUAGUGGGGGGGGGGGACUGGCUGGAUGUAACCCCCUCACCUGUGACACCUUAUUGUAUUGUGCUGAUGUAACAUGUACAAAACACAGAGGUCAUGAUGUCUGUUCAAUAUUUUAUUGUAAUAAAACUACUGCUGUGUCCAUUUUGGAACAUUUUUUUAGAGCGCUACUCAAACGUUUAGCUGCGUUGCUC